AAAUAUGGAAACAAAUUCAUUAAUUAUACUACAUCUGGUCAUAACAUUAACUGGAAUCACAUUUUUCAUUCUAAUAAUCAGAUGUUUUUUUAAAGGAAAGCCAUGCCCUAGUAAGUUCGUUAUUGAUGGAAAAACUGUUCUUAUUACACGUGGAGACACUCCUGAUGGAAUAGAACUUGCUCGGGAAUUGAGUCAUCGGGGCGGUAGAAUUAUCCUGGGUUGUGAAAACAUAAAUCGUGGAUAUGACAUUGCUAUAGAUAUAAGAGGUGAAACUAAUGGUGAGGUCAUUGUUGAACAUGUGAAUGCACAAUCCAUGAAGAGCAUUAGAGAUUUCUGUACAAAAAUCCUUGAAACAGAAUCUAAGAUUCAUGUACUUAUCAACAACAAUGUGAUACAAUGGGCAUCAAAAAGAACAACAGAAGAUGGAUUUGAAUUACAUUGGGGAAUAAAUCAUAUGUCUAACUUUGUAAUGACACAAUUGCUUUUACCUUUACUCCAUCGAGCAGCUCCAGAUGCAAGAAUUAUAAAUAUGACAAGUUCAUGGUACUCCCGUUCAAAAGGUAUCAAUUGGAAUGAUCCAAAUUUUCGAAAUGAAAGUUAUUCUGCAUGCGAAGCAUUUAAUCAAUCAAAAUUGGCAAAUAUAUUGUUCACUCGUGAAUUAUCAAAACGACUCGAAGGUACAGGAGUUAAUGUGAAAAGUCUAAAUUUAUGUAAGGCUUCCGGAUUUCUAUCAUGCCGUUAUAGUUUUGGGAUCCAAGCCUUUAGAAAAUACAAAUUUGACCAGCAUAAGAGAAUCUGUAUUCACCAUAAUAAUUUACAGUUUUGUUCAAAGAAAAUAACUAAAUCAAGUCCUGAUGCUUCUAAUGUUAUUUCGAAUAUUAUCAAAAUGCAUGUCUCAUUUCAUAUUGAUAGUAAUCCAAAUAUUGUAAGAUUCAUGGAACUUCAUACUGGCAAUGUAAUAAAUUUCUUCUCGAUACACCAUUACAUAGUCCAUAAAGUCCCAAAGAUGUAUUUACUAUUUCUCACCUGAAACAGGAUCAUCCACCGGUGGUUUUGCAGACAGUAAGGGUAUUUACCCUAUCAUACUUGCUAAAUCCGGCGUGACCUAAACGAGACACAACUUGUUUUGCUCCAUUUUCGGUAUAUUUAUCCACUUGUAACACUUGUUAACUAAAGCGUUCAGAAGGUAAAUAAUCAGCUUUUCUUUUCUAGUAGUACAACUUUUGUAUAAAAUUAAUCAAAACUUCAAAAAAGACAAUUAAAGUAAUGUUCUAAAAACUUUUUGAUAGCCAGGUAUCUAUAUAGUUUAAAUUUUGUUUCUUAAUUCUGAUGAUCGAAAACGAUUGAUUACUACUCCAAGCACUUCAAUUCAUCCACAAUGGUAUGGAUGAAAACAACUUGAUGAAAUCAAUAAAUCAUCAACGUUAUCCAUUCAUGGCAUAUAAAACCUCUACUAUUUUAUAUGCAAAACUUAAAUGUGUACAGAUGAUUGAGGACGCUAUAUAUUUUCGUUGAGUUUAUUAUCAAUAAAACCUACAUAGUACAAUCACUAUAAGAAACAAAAUAUAAAGAUAUAAUACCAUACUUGUAUCUACCUAAUUUCAUAAUUCUCAUUAGCUAUUUUGUAUCUUCAUCAUAGGUCCUCAUCGUAUUCCAUGAAUAAUUAUUAAUUACUCAUUCUAAAUAGUAAAUACUAAAUAUAAUUCAAGGAAAGAGUAAAAAUCCAAUACUCAGAGCUGUAUUUGAGGCCACUUUUUCAGUGUUCAGGUCAAGUCCGGGUCAUCAUGCUCCGGGUCUUCUGGUCCCAAGUCAUCAUGCUCCUGAUUUUUCUGGUUCCAAGUACAAGUACUCAUAUUCCGAGCCAAAGGGACAAUAAACAAUGUCUUGAUAUACAUAUAGUUUAGUCCAAGCAUAGUGAGGAUAAAAAGUAAAGGAAUAAAAGAAUAAUGAGGACAGCUUUGGUAAAUAAAAUAUAUAUUUAGGUAGGGAGCACUCUCCUUGAAUAACUUUACAACUGCAAAAAUCCAGACCUUCUUUUUUAUAAUAGCUUGGAAAUAAUACCAUCCACCGAUACGUUAAAAAAAAGAAACUGAAAAUAAAUCUGACAAUUCAAAGUAUGUUUUGGAGGAGAACAGCUUAGAUGCCAUAACGUUUCAUUAAAUUAGCUGUGGUCAGGAUCAGCCCGUGCUUAUAGGCAAAUGCUUAGUGUGCAUGAUUCUUAUGGGGCGCGGGAAUUUGGGAAGAACUAUUUUACUCGUACGCUUAGCUUGUUUUUUAGUUCUUUUUAAACAUACGUACCUAUGAAGCACAUAAAAUAAUUCCACUAAUUUAAUACUGUUUUUCUUUAAGGCAGGACAGUUUCUGAAGAAUUGAGCUAUUGUUUUUUUACCCAGAGAUCGAAGGCUUUCUUCUCGCCCGUAUAGUAGAUAUAGUGUGACUCUGUAUUUUAAGUAUGCAUGUUUUGACGUAAAUGGAUCAAACACAAUUUUAUUUAUGUAGUUAUUUGUUUGUAUAUAAACAUUUGCAUUGAUCGUAUGUCUGAAAACAGACAACAGACAACCUCUUUUGAUCCCUUAUUUCAAUUUGUAGUUGGAUACAAUAAAUACCAUUGAGAAAGGGGUUAUAUUCUCCAUUGUCCCUCAGAUCUUCUUUAGGGACUUCAAUGCCAGCCAAAUUUCCGAAGGUGUUGUGUUGGAGACCGCAAGGACGUCGUGUAUUCUUACCGACUUGAAGUAGCUUUUGAUUUUCGUUGAUAGGGAUAUUUUGAUCUCUGGAUUGUCUUCGAUUGGUACAUUUGCACCAAUUUCUUCACAAGUAAGUUCUUAACAGCUCUUCUGAUGGAACAAGCUUCCUCCAAGGUAGAAUUUGGGCUGGGUUUUAGAUUUUCCUCGGCAUGCUCUGAUGUAUAUUUUCUUCUAGGGAUGGCAGUAUUGUAAAUGCAUCACAUCACCCAGCCAAACUGAGGCAAAGGCUGCGCUGGACCAAGUUGGGCAAUGUCAAAACGUCCCAAACUACCUGGUAUUGGUUCAGAGUGGUCCAUUUAAAACGGGAAACAGCUUCACAUUCCCUAAUUACGACGGGCAAACAUGUCAACAUGCCUAUUUUAACAGACUAUUAGCCAAUGGGGAAAAAGUGAGAAGAAGUUGGCUUCUAUACUCUAAAAAAGAGGACAGCUUAAACUGCAUCUGCUAUAAACUUUUUUCGAAAAGAAAGUAAAAAAUGAAAAAGGAAGGACUAAAGGGUUGGAAAAAUGCAGGUCACUUGCUGCAGGACCAUGACGAUAGAGCCAGGAGCAUAAUACUAAAAUGGAAGAACUUGGAGGCCCGUCUUGCAGAAGGGCUCACAAUUGACCAACAUGAUAUGGAACUUGCAGAGGCAGAAAAAAGAAGGUUGCACGAUGUUUCAGGUCGAUUGGUGACAAUCAUUUUUUGAAAGAAGUUGAGCUAUUGACAAAAUUUGAUCCUGUAAUGAAACAGUAUGUCAGUAUGGCGUCAUGUAAUUUACCUCGACAAAAUAUUCCAAAAUGAACUGAUUGAAUCUAUUAGCUCUAAAAUAAUUGAGCAAAUUGUCUACGAGGUCAAAAUGUCCAAAUAUUUAUCAAUCAUUUAGGAUUGCACCCCUGAUCUGAGUCAUAAAGAACAGCUGUCUGGCAUAGUACCGGUCGUGUCACAAGAAAACAUACCUCACGUUAAAGAGCUUUUCUUGGGCUUUAUUGUUGUACAAAGUCGACAGGAAAACAUUGUGUUCUCUAAUCCUGAAAAAGCUUAUACGAGCUUAACAUCUCAUUUGAGGAUUACAGAGUAUAGUCUUAUGACAAUGGGGGAACAUGAAGGGCAAGAAAAAAGGUGUUCAGGUAAAGUUGAUUCAGCUAAACUCAAGAGCUUCAUUUAUUCGAUGUGGUGCCCACACAUUAAAUCUGGUUGUCGCAAAAAGAUUUUCAUAUGCCCUUAAACACUUUUGGUUUUUGACAAAUUUGUUCAAGCUCUUCUCAGCCUCCACCCAAAGGUGUAAUGUCCUCCUGAAACAUAUGAGAAUUACUCUGAAAUUAUGGGCAGAGACCAGAUGGGAAGUAGGAUAAAAAGUAUUGAGGCAGUAAGGUAUCAGGCUGAGCAAGUCAGUGAGGCUCUUCUGGAGGUGAGAAAAACAGUUGCAGAUCCGGUGGUUAGAGUUGAAGCCCAGCUUUGGCAGAGGAGCUUGGAUCCUAUCACUUUUGCAUUUGUACAACCGUAUGGGAUGAUGUUCUCAGCAAGAUCCAGUAUGUCCGUAAACUGAUGCAGUCGCCCUCCAUGCUACUUAGUGUGGCUGUCGACUUGCUGAAUAAAACCAAACAUUUCCUUAUUAGCUACAGAAAAGCUGGUUAUGCUGCUGCACAGAGUUCUGCAAAACAGAUGUGUGAGGAGAUGAACGUGGAGGCUGAACUCAAGCAGAAGCGUUUGAGAACCACCAAAAGGCACUUUGGCUAUGAGUCUCCAGAUGAGCCUAGACCAGAUGCACUUCGAAAAUUGGAAACCUCAUUUUUUAAUAUGGCGACGAUAUUGCAAUCUCGUCACUUGAUGAGAGAUUUCAGAGCCUUGGAGAGGUGAAUAUCACUUUUUCUGUACUCCACGAAUCCAUCCACAUAGGAAGAGAGGACCUGCUAGGGAAGUGCCAAACCCUAAGUCUUUCUCUUGCCCAUGACAGUUAACUAGACAUUGAUGCCAUUGCACUAACCAAGGAAAUGGAGUAUUUCCCACCAUUGGCAUCAAACAACAUGACGACCAUGGAAAUCUUGGCCUUCCUGCAUACAAAAAAGCUGACGUAAAUUUACACAAACAUGUGGGUUGUGUUACAAAUCUUAGCCACCCUCCUCAUUACAGUGGCUGCUGCUGAGAGAAGCUUAUCAAAGCUCUAGUUAAUAUAAACAAACUUGAGAUCAACAAUACAUCAGAAAUGUCUAAGUAGGCUCGUCAUUAUCAGCAUCAACAAUGAGCUCUCAUAUCAUCUACCGUAUGAUGCCCUUAUUGAUGAUUUUGCUGUCAAAAAGACACAAAGAGUAGGGUUGUAGUAUGUGAUGUAAGACUAUGGACAUUGUAGUGUAUUUUGUUUAGUGCAUUUCUUAAGUUGUCACCACCGCAGGAGUUCCUGAUAAAAUCACAAAUGUUAAAGGUUUCACCUUUUUUAUUUAUUAUAUGAUGAUUGUUCUUUUGUGUGUUGUUAUAUUGUCUUGUCUGUUGUUUAAUUAUUUUUUAAACAACAUUUAACCUUUUUCAAGUUUUUGUGCACAAACAAUUUCUGUUCUAAAAAUUGCUGAAUAAAACAAUUAUUAAAACA
rnacentral:misc_RNA from 1 species